rnacentral:lncRNA from 1 species
GCGCGGGACGUGGGCAGCCCGAAGCCGAACCUGCGGGGACAGACGGGAAUUCCCGGAAUUCCUGAAAAUCCCGGAGGGGCGUCCCAAAAAAUCCCGUCCCAAUCCCAGAAAAAAUCAUCCAAAUAUCCCAAAAAAUCAUCAAAAUAUCCCCAAAAAAAUCAUCCGAAUAUCCCCAAAAAAUCCCAUCCAAAUAUCCCAAAAAAAUCAUCCGAAUAUCCCCAAAAAAUCAUCCAAAUCCCACAAAAAUCCCAUCCAAAUAUCCCAAAAAAAUCAUCCGAAUAUCCCCAAAAAAUCAUCCAAAUAUCCCAAAAAAUCCCAUCCAAAUAUCCCAAAAAAAUCACCCAAAUAUCCCAAAAAAUCAUCAAAAUCCCACAAAAAUCCCAUCUGAAUAUCCCAAAAAAUCCCAUCCAAAUAUCCCAAAAAAUCCCAUCCAAACAUCCCAAAAAAAUCAUCCAAAUAUCCCAAAAAAUCAUCCAAAUAUCCCAAAAAAAUCAUCCAAAUCCCACAAAAAUCCCAUCCAAAUAUCCCAAAAAAAUCAUCCAAAUAUCCCAAAAAAUCAUCAAAAUCCCCCAAAAAUCCCAUCCAAAUAUCCCAAAAAAUCCCGUCCCAAUCCCGGAAAAAUCAUCCAAAUAUCCCAAAAAAAUCAUCCAAAUCCCACAAAAAAUCAUCCAAAUAUCCCCAAAAAAUCAUCCAAAUAUCCCAAAAAUCCCAUCCAAAUAUCCCAAAAAAAUCAUCGGAAUCCCACAAAAAUCCCAUCUGAAUAUCCCAAAAAUCAUCCAAACAUCCCAAAAAUCCCAUCUGAAUAUCCCAAAAAUCCCAUCCAAAUAUCCCAAAAAAUCCCGUCCGAAUCCCACAAAAAAUCAUCCAAAUAUCCCAAAAAAAGUCGUCAAAAUCCCACAAAAAUCCCAUCCAAAUAUCCCAAAAAAAUCAUCAAAAUAUCCCCAAAAAAUCAUCAAAAUAUCCCAAAAAAUCAUCAAAAUAUCCCAAAAAAUCAUCCAACUAUCCCAAAAAAAUCAUCCAAAUCCCACAAAAAUCCCAUCCAAAUAUCCCAAAAAAUCCCAUCUGAAUAUCCCAAAAAUCCCCUCCAAAUAUCCCAAAAAUCCCAUCCAAAUAUCCCAAAAAAUCCCGUCCAAAUCCCACAAAAAUCAUCCAAAUAUCCCAAAAAAUCAUCCAAAUAUCCCAAAAAAUCCCAUCCAAAUAUCCCAAAAAAAUCCCGUCCGAAUCCCAGGAAAAAUCAUCCAAAUAUCCCAAAAAAAAUCGUCAAAAUCCCACAAAAAUCCCAUCCGAAUAUCCCAAAAAAAUCAUCAAAAUAUCCCAAAAAAUCCCAUCCAAAUCCCACAAAAAAUCAUCAAAAUCCCAAAAAAAAUCCCAUCCGAAUAUCCCAAAAAUUCCCCUCCAAAACCCCCCAAAACCCCCCUAAAAACCCCGAACUCCCCCAAACCCUCUGGGAUCCCAGAUUUCUGGGGAUUAUCCCAAAUUUUUGGGGGGCUCAUUCCCGGUUUUUUGGGGUCCCCCCCCCCGGGAAUUUGGGGAGGGGUCUCUGACCCGUGCAUGGGCCCCGCCUGCCCGUUGGGCUCCAUCAGGCCCCGGAAGGGCCCCCCCAGGCGCGGGUCCUGCGCGCUCGCCUCGGCCGUGCUGAAAUGGUACUCGGUGACCUUGUCCAGCAAAUCGUGGGGAAUUCCUCCCCCCCGGUCCGAAAUCCUGCCAAAAAACGGGAAUUCCGGAAAAUUCCGGAAAAUUCCGGAAAAUUCGGGUGAUUUUGGGUCAUUUCAGGGUGUUUUGGGGUCAUUUUGGGGUGAUUUUGGGGUGAUUUUGGGGUGUUUGGGGUCACUGCUGGUACUCGGUGACCUUGUCCAGCAAAUCGUGGGGAAUUCCUCCCCCCCGGUCCGAAAUCCUGCCAAAAAACGGGAAUUCGGGAAAAUUCCGGAAAAUUCCGGAAAAUUCCGGAAAAUUCGGGUGAUUUUGGGGUGA